rnacentral:sRNA from 1 species
GCUAGGCAUGACGGCAUGUGCCUGUAGUCCCAGCUACUCAGGAGGCUGAGGUAAGAAGAUCCUUUGAGCCAGAGUUCAAGAUCAGCCUGGGCAACAAAGAGGGCCCCUUCUU